UACGUAGGGGGCAAGCGUUGUCCGGAAUUAUUGGGCGUAAAGCGCGUGUAGGCGGUCCGGUAAGUCCGCUGUGAAAGUCGAGGGCUCAACCCUCGAAUGCCGGCGGAUACUGUCGGGCUAGAGUCCGGAAGAGGCGAGUGGAAUUCCUGGUGUAGCGGUGAAAUGCGCAGAUAUCAGGAGGAACACCUACGGCGAAGGCAGCUCGCUGGGACGGUACUGACGCUGAGACGCGAAAGCGUGGGGAGCAAACAGG
rnacentral:rRNA from 1 species